UACAGAGGUCUCAAGCGUUGUUCGGAUUCAUUGGGCGUAAAGGGCGCGUAGGCUGGCGGGGCAAGUCGGGUGUGAAAUCUCAGGGCUCAACCCUGAAACUGCAACUCGAUACUGCUCUGCUUGAGGACUGGAGAGGAGACUGGAAUUCACGGUGUAGCAGUGAAAUGCGUAGAUAUCGUGAAGGAAGACCAGUGGCGGAAGGCGG
rnacentral:rRNA from 1 species